AUUGAACGCUGGCGGCAGGCCUAACACAUGCAAGUCGAACGAGUGGCGGACGGGUGAGUAAUGUCUGGGAAACUGCCUGAUGGAGGGGGAUAACUACUGGAAACGGUAGCUAAUACCGCAUACCAUCGGAUGUGCCCAGAUGGGCGUAGCUCGUAGGGUGGGUAACGUCUCACCUAGGCGACGAUCCCUAGCUGGUCUGAGAGGAUGACCUGCCACACUGGAACUGAGACACGGUCCAGAUUCCGACGGGAGGCAGCAGUGGGUAAUAUUGCACAAUGGGCGCAAGCCUGAUGCAGCCAUGCCGCGUGUAUGAAGAAGGCCUUCGGGUUGUAAAGUACUUUCAGCGGGGAGGCGUUACCCGCAGAAGAAGCACCGGCUAACUCCGUGCCAGCAGCCGCGGUAAUUC
rnacentral:rRNA from 1 species